rnacentral:tRNA from 1 species
GCUCUCGUGGCCCAGUUGGUUAAUGCGUCGUACUUAUAAUGCGAAGGUCGAGGGUUCGAUCCCCUCCGGGAGCA